rnacentral:rRNA from 1 species
CAGGCUUAACACAUGCAAGUCGAGGGGCAGCAUGGUCUUAGCUUGCUAAGGCCGAUGGCGACCGGCGCACGGGUGAGUAACACGUAUCCAACCUGCCGUCUACUCUUGGACAGCCUUCUGAAAGGAAGAUUAAUACAAGAUGGCAUCAUGAGUCCGCAUGUUCACAUGAUUAAAGGUAUUCCGGUAGACGAUGGGGAUGCGUUCCAUUAGAUAGUAGGCGGGGUAACGGCCCACCUAGUCUUCGAUGGAUAGGGGUUCUGAGAGGAAGAUCCCCCACAUUGGAACUGAGACACGGUCCAAACUCCUACGGGAGGCAGCAGUGAGAAAUAUUGGUCAAUGGGCGAGAGCCUGAACCAGCCAAGUAGCGUGAAGGAUGACUGCCCUAUGGGUUGUAAACUUCUUUUAUAAAGGAAUAAAGUCGGGUAUGGAUACCCGUUUGCAUGUACUUUAUGAAUAAGGAUCGGCUAACUCCGUGCCAGCAGCCGCGGUAAUACGGAGGAUCCGAGCGUUAUCCGGAUUUAUUGGGUUUAAAGGGAGCGUAGAUGGAUGUUUAAGUCAGUUGUGAAAGUUUGCGGCUCAACCGUAAAAUUGCAGUUGAUACUGGAUAUCUUGAGUGCAGUUGAGGCAGGCGGAAUUCGUGGUGUAGCGGUGAAAUGCUUAGAUAUCACGAAGAACUCCGAUUGCGAAGGCAGCCUGCUAAGCUGCAACUGACAUUGAGGCUCGAAAGUGUGGGUAUCAAACAGGAUUAGAUACCCUGGUAGUCCACACGGUAAACGAUGAAUACUCGCUGUUUGCGAUAUACGGCAAGCGGCCAAGCGAAAGCGUUAAGUAUUCCACCUGGGGAGUACGCCGGCAACGGUGAAACUCAAAGGAAUUGACGGGGGCCCGCACAAGCGGAGGAACAUGUGGUUUAAUUCGAUGAUACGCGAGGAACCUUACCCGGGCUUAAAUUGCAGAUGAAUUACGGUGAAAGCCGUAAGCCGCAAGGCAUCUGUGAAGGUGCUGCAUGGUUGUCGUCAGCUCGUGCCGUGAGGUGUCGGCUUAAGUGCCAUAACGAGCGCAACCCUUGUUGUCAGUUACUAACAGGUUCCGCUGAGGACUCUGACAAGACUGCCAUCGUAAGAUGUGAGGAAGGUGGGGAUGACGUCAAAUCAGCACGGCCCUUACGUCCGGGGCUACACACGUGUUACAAUGGGGGGUACAGAGGGCCGCUACCACGCGAGUGGAUGCCAAUCCCAAAAACCUCUCUCAGUUCGGACUGGAGUCUGCAACCCGACUCCACGAAGCUGGAUUCGCUAGUAAUCGCGCAUCAGCCACGGCGCGGUGAAUACGUUCCCGGGCCUUGUACACACCGCCCGUCAAGCCAUGGGAGCCGGGGGUACCUGAAGUGCGUAACCGCGAGGAGCGCCCUAGGGUAAAACUGGUGACU